rnacentral:rRNA from 1 species
GACGAACCACCCGAACGUUAUUCGGAAUCACUGGGCUUAAAGCGUGCGUAGGCGGCCCUGUAAGUUAGGUGUGAAAUCCCACAGCUCAACUGUGGAACUGCGCUUAAAACUAUAGGGCUAGAGGGAUAUAGAGGUGAGCAGAACAGAUGGUGGAGCGGUGAAAUGCGUUGAUAUCAUCUGGAAUACCGGAGGCGAAGGCGGCUCACUGGGUAUCUUCUGACGCUGAGGUACGAAAGCUAGGGGAGCGAACGGG